GUACAAGAAGCAAAUUCAUUGUACACACUAAUUUUACUGACCUCUCCAGGAAUGAAUGUAGCCAGGAUGGAAAUUCCACCACUUCCCUAUAAAACCAUGAGACUCCCAUGAAACUCUUGGUCCAAGUAUUCUCCUGAAGAGCUUAGCACAGCACUAAGGGGGUGACAGAAAUUUCUUCCUUGUACCAAGGAGGGUUUAUUUUUGAUGGACAAUGCAGUUCAGGGGAGGAUGCCUGAGCAGCACUGUGAGUUCCACAUCUCAGCAGUGAGAAUGGCUUUGCACUCUACUUCCUCUAUGGGCCUUACAGGAGUCAGGAUUUCAGAGAAAAGAAACCUCACCUAGUGCCUUCUUUCAGUGUCAGCUCCCUGCUUGAACAGGGAAGAAAAGAAGGAAGAGUGGUGACACCCCUUUAGUGAAGCCUCAACAAACAUGAAUUUGAUUUUACAAACACGAGGAGUUUACAAGGCUCUUUCCUACAGUGUGCAAGAUGGGUCCCAGGAGGAAUGGAUUCUUCUUUCCUGUAAAAGUAUUUAAAUUAUACAGUAAUUAGCUGAAAUUUCUAAAUAGACUGUCACAAGGAUUGGGGCCAGGCAGGACUCACAGAAAUGUGUCAGGCACUGCUUUGUAAAAUCAGGCUCCAAUUUGCUUUCCGUCUCCUUGGGCUGAGUAUCCUGAAGGAUUUUCCUGGAUGGUGUCGGAGAGCAUCUCUCCCAGCCCAAUAGAAGAAUAACCUUGAUUUCACUUGGGCAGAGCAGGAAAUGGAACAGUCUCACUUCUGGGUAAAUGAGUUCAGUGUAUAGAAAUUUUCUGUGGUUUGGGUUUUUUCUUUCUUUUUUUUUCCUCCUUGGGUCACUCACCAAAGUGCUUCUCCAGUCAUAAGGAAAGGCACAGGGGAAGAUGGACUUCAGUUUCUCUCAUAAGUUUCUGUGCUGGUUUUGCAUUUAUUGACAUUUGGGGAAGAAGUAAGAAACCACCCAUGGAAAUGAGUUUUCUGAGAGAAACUGCUAAGAGCUUCCUCUGUGCCUGAAAAAGGCCAAUACCUGGCUAGUUCUGAGAACUGACAACAUUUUGAAACAUUCAGAAAUUCAAUCUGCCUCUGUUGAAAUCCAACCAUUUUAAAAACACAACCGAGGGAAAUCUGUCUCCUGGCUCCUGCCCUCACAAUGUCACUGAG
rnacentral:lncRNA from 1 species